GACGAACGCUGGCGGCGUGCUUAACACAUGCAAGUCGAACGAAGAGCGAUGGACGCUUGCUUCUAUCAAUCUUAGUGGCGAACGGGUGAGUAACGCGUAAUCAACCUGCCCUUCAGGGGGGGACAACAGUUGGAAACGACUGCUAAUACCGCAUACGAUCUGACCUCGGCAUCGAGGAUAGAUGAAAGGUGGCCUCUACAUGUAAGCUAUCACUGAAGGAGGGGAUUGCGUCUGAUUAGCUAGUUGGAGGGGUAACGGCCCACCAAGGCGAUGAUCAGUAGCCGGUCUGAGAGGAUGAACGGCCACAUUGGGACUGAGACACGGCCCAGACUCCUACGGGAGGCAGCAGUGGGGAAUCUUCCGCAAUGGACGAAAGUCUGACGGAGCAACGCCGCGUGAGUGAUGACGGCCUUCGGGUUGUAAAGCUCUGUUAAUCGGGACGAAAGGCCUUUUUGCGAAUAGUGAGAAGGAUUGACGGUACCGGAAUAGAAAGCCACGGCUAACUACGUG
rnacentral:rRNA from 1 species